rnacentral:rRNA from 1 species
UGGGGAAUAUUGCACAAUGGGCGCAAGCCUGAUGCAGCCAUGCCGCGUGUAUGAAGAAGGCCUUCGGGUUGUAAAGUACUUUCAGCGAGGAGGAAGGCGUUGUGGUUAAUAACCGCAGCGAUUGACGUUACUCGCAGAAGAAGCACCGGCUAACUCCGUGCCAGCAGCCGCGGUAAUACGGAGGGGGCAAGCGUUAAUCGGAAUUACUGGGCGUAAAGCGCACGCAGGCGGUCUGUCAAGUCGGAUGUGAAAUCCCCGGGCUCAACCUGGGAACUGCAUCCGAAACUGGCAGGCUAGAGUCUUGUAGAGGGGGGUAGAAUUCCAGGUGUAGCGGUGAAAUGCGUAGAGAUCUGGAGGAAUACCGGU